GAGAAGCUUGCUUCUCUUGAGAGCGGCGGACGGGUGAGUAAUGCCUAGGAAUCUGCCUAGUGGUGGGGGAUAACGUUCGGAAACGGACGCUAAUACCGCAUACGUCCUACGGGAGAAAGCGGGGGAUCUUCGGACCUCGCGCCAUUAGAUGAGCCUAGGUCGGAUUAGCUAGUUGGUGAGGUAAUGGCUCACCAAGGCGACGAUCCGUAACUGGUCUGAGAGGAUGAUCAGUCACACUGGAACUGAGACACGGUCCAGACUCCUACGGGAGGCAGCAGUGGGGAAUAUUGGACAAUGGGCGAAAGCCUGAUCCAGCCAUACCGCGUGUGUGAAGAAGGUCUUCGGAUUGUAAAGCACUUUAAGUUGGGAGGAAGGGUAGUAACCUAAUACGUUGCUACUUUGACGUUACCGACAGAAUAAGCACCGGCUAACUUCGUGCCAGCAGCCGCGGUAAUACGAAGGGUGCAAGCGUUAAUCGGAAUUACUGGGCGUAAAGCGCGCGUAGGUGGUUCAGUAAGUUGGAAGCGAAAUCCCCGGGCUCAACCUGGGAACUGCUUUCAAAACUGCUGAGCUAGAGUACGGUAGAGGGUGGUGGAAUUUCCUGUGUAGCGGUGAAAUGCGUAGAUAUAGGAAGGAACACCAGUGGCGAAGGCGACCACCUGGACUGAUACUGACACUGAGGUGCGAAAGCGUGGGGAGCAAACAGGAUUAGAUACCCUGGUAGUCCACGCCGUAAACGAUGUCAACUAGCCGUUGGAAUCCUUGAGAUUUUAGUGGCGCAGCUAACGCAUUAAGUUGACCGCCUGG
rnacentral:rRNA from 1 species